rnacentral:rRNA from 1 species
GAUGAACGCUAGCGGCAGGCUUAACACAUGCAAGUCGAGGGGUAUAGUUCUUCGGAACUAGAGACCGGCGCACGGGUGCGUAACGCGUAUGCAAUCUACCUUUUGCAGAGGGAUAGCCCAGAGAAAUUUGGAUUAAUACCUCAUGGUAUGUGAGAAUGGCAUCAUUUUCACAUUAAAGUCACAACGGCAAAAGAUGAGCAUGCGUCCCAUUAGCUUGUUGGUAAGGUAACGGCUUACCAAGGCAACGAUGGGUAGGGGUCCUGAGAGGGAUAUCCCCCACACUGGUACUGAGACACGGACCAGACUCCUACGGGAGGCAGCAGUGAGGAAUAUUGGACAAUGGGCGCAAGCCUGAUCCAGCCAUGCCGCGUGCAGGAUGACGGUCCUAUGGAUUGUAAACUGCUUUUGUACAGGAAGAAACACUGGUUCGUGAACCAGCUUGACGGUACUGUAAGAAUAAGGAUCGGCUAACUCCGUGCCAGCCGCCGCCGUAAUAC